AACCAAAAACAACCUUUUUAUUUUUCAUUUUACUCUUUUUAGAGUAAUUACUCCUUUUUCCAUCGGCCUAACCAACCGAUGGUUUUUUUA
rnacentral:antisense_RNA from 23 species